GACGAACGCUGGCGGCGUGCUUAACACAUGCAAGUCGAACGGUGAAGGGGUCUGCUUUUGUGGGCCCUGGAUGAGUGGCGAACGGGUGAGUAACACGUGAGUAACCUGCCCCCUUCUUCUGGAUAACCGCAUGAAAGUGUGGCUAAUACGGGAUAUUCUGGUUCUGUCGCAUGAUGGGUCUGGGAAAGAUUGCGCCUUUGGGUGUUUUUGGUGGGGGAUGGGCUCGCGGCCUAUCAGCUUGUUGGUGGGGUGAUGGCCUACCAAGGCGGUGACGGGUAGCCGGCCUGAGAGGGUGGACGGUCACACUGGGACUGAGACACGGCCCAGACUCCUACGGGAGGCAGCAGUGGGGAAUAUUGCACAAUGGGCGCAAGCCUGAUGCAGCGACGCCGCGUGAGGGAGGGAGGCCUUCGGGUUGUAAACCUCUUUCGCCAGUGAAGCAGGCCUGCUCCUUGUGGGUGGGUUGACGGUAGCUGGAUAAGAAGCGCCGGCUAACUACGUG
rnacentral:rRNA from 1 species